rnacentral:misc_RNA from 1 species
UCCAGGUUAUCCCUGGCGGUCUCCUGCGAGUUCCGUCUUUCGACAUGGCAACACAGGACAAGGGUUGCGCUCGUUGCGGGACUUAACCCAACAUCUCACGACACGAGCUGACGACAGCCAUGCAGCACCUAUACUACGGUCCCUUGCGGGAAGGCCUACUUUCAUAAGCUGGUCCAUAGCAUUUCGAGCCCAGGUAAGGUUCUUCGCGUCGCGUCGAAUUAAACAACAUGCUCCGCUGCUUGUGCGGGCCCCCGUCAAUUCCUUUGAGUUUCAAUCUUGCGAUCGUACUUCCCAGGUGGGAUACUUAAUGCUUUCGCUCAGACACACACUGUGUAUCGCGUAUGUCGAGUAUCCAUAGUUUAGGGCGUGGACUAC